CAUCAGUACAUGUGCCAU
rnacentral:piRNA from 1 species